rnacentral:rRNA from 1 species
GACGGACGCUGGCGGCGUGGAUUAGGCAUGCAAGUCGAACGGUAUCAUCCUUUCGGGGGUGAGAGAGUGGCGAACUGGUGAGUAACACGUAGGUUAUCUACCCUCAAGACGGGGACAACCCAGGGAAACUUGGGCUAAUACCGGAUGUGAGCAACUUUUAGUUGUUUGAAAGGUGGCGUAAGCUGUCGCUUGGGGAUGAGCCUGCGUCCUAUUAGUUAGUUGGUGAGGUAACGGCUCACCUAGGCAAUGAUAGGUGGGCGGCCUUAACGGGUGGUCGCCCACACUGGGAUUGAGAUACGGCCCAGACUCCUACGGGAGGCAGCAGUCGAGAAUAGUCUACAAUGGUCGGAAGACUGAUAGUGCGACGCCGCGUGAACGAUGAAUCCCUUCGGGGUGUAAAGUUCUUUUAUAUGUGAGCAGUGCUUCUUAUAUUAACAGUAUGGGGAGAGAGAUAUUAGCAUAUGAAUAAGCAACGGCUAACUCCGUGCCAGCAGCCGCGGU